rnacentral:rRNA from 1 species
CUACGGGGGGCUGCAGUCGAGAAUCUUCCGCAAUGGGCGCAAGCCUGACGGAGCAAUGCCGCGUGAGGGAUGACGGCCCUAGGGUUGUAAACCUCUGUCAGAAGGGACGAAGAACGUGACGGUACCUUCAGAGGAAGCCAUGGCUAACUACGUGCCAGCAGCCGCGGUAAUACGUAGAUGGCGAGCGUUAUUCGGAUUUACUGGGCGUAAAGGGUCCGUAGGGGGGCUGCCAAGUCUGAUGUGAAAUCCUGCGGCUCAACCGCGGAACUGCAUUGGAAACUGGCGGACUAGAGUGUGCGAGGGGUGAGCGGAAUUCCUGGUGUAGCGGUGGAAUGCGUAGAUAUCAGGAAGAACACCGAUGGCGAAGGCGGCUCACUGGCGCAUCACUGACCCUGAGGGACGAAAGCGUGGGUAGCAAACAGGAUUAGAUACCCUAGUAGUC